GACGAACCGUGCGAACGUUAUUCGGAAUCACUGGGCUUAAAGCGCGUGUAGGCGGAUGAGCACGUCUGUCGCUGAAAUCCCCCGGCUCAACCGGGGAACGGGCGCGGAUACGGCUCGUCUCGAGGGGCGUAGGGGGACCUGGAACUUCCGGUGGAGCGGUGAAAUGCGUUGAGAUCGGAAGGAACGCCCGUGGCGAAAGCGGGGUCCUGGACGCCUACUGACGCUGAGACGCGAAAGCCAGGGGAGCGAACGGG
rnacentral:rRNA from 1 species